CAAUGGCGUAUAUUAAAGUUGUUGCAGUUAAAAAGCUCGUAGUUGGAUUUGUGGCUGUCACGGGCGGCCUAUCACUUAGUGUUAGUGCUUGCCUGUGUCGCCAUCCUUGGGUGGAGCCCGUGUGGCAUUAGGUUGUCGUGCGGGGGAUGCCCAUCGUUUACUGUGAGAAAAUUAGAGUGUUCAAAGCAGGCUUAUGCCAUUGAAUAUGUUAGCAUGGAAUAAUAAGAUAGGACCUCGGUACUAUUUUGUUGGUUUGCGCACCGAGGUAAUGAUUAAUAGGGACAGUUGGGGGUAUUCGUAUUUCAUUGUCAGAGGUGAAAUUCUUGGAUUUCUGAAAGACGAACUACUGCGAAAGCAUUUACCAAGGAUGUUUUCAUUAA
rnacentral:rRNA from 1 species